UACGUAGGGGGCAAGCGUUGUCCGGCAUUAUUGGGCGUAAAGCGCGCGCAGGCGGUCUCUUAAGUCUGUUGUGAAAGCCCACGGCUCAACCGUGGAGGGUCAUUGGAAACUGGGAGACUUGAGUGUAGGAGAGGAAAGUGGAAUUCCACGUGUAGCGGUGAAAUGCGUAGAGAUGUGGAGGAACACCAGUGGCGAAGGCGACUGUCGGGCUUAUAACUGACGCUGAGGCGCGAAAGCGUGGGGAGCAAACAGG
rnacentral:misc_RNA from 1 species